rnacentral:rRNA from 1 species
GGGCGUUUCGAAAAUGAAUCAAAACUUUCAACAACGGAUCUCUUGGUUCUGGCAUCGAUGAAGAACGCAGCGAAAUGCGAUAAGUAAUGUGAAUUGCAGAAUUCAGUGAAUCAUCGAAUCUUUGAACGCACAUUGCGCCCGCCAGUAUUCUGGCGGGCAUGCCUGUCCGAGCGUCAU